rnacentral:rRNA from 1 species
GGUUAAGCGACUAAGCGUACACGGUGGAUGCCCUGGCAGUCAGAGGCGAUGAAGGACGUGCUAAUCUGCGAUAAGCGUCGGUAAGGUGAUAUGAACCGUUAUAACCGGCGAUUUCCGAAUGGGGAAACCCAGUGUGAUUCGUCACACUAUCAUUAACUGAAUCCAUAGGUUAAUGAGGCGAACCGGGUGAACUGAAACAUCUAAGUACCCCGAGGAAAAGAAAUCAACCGAGAUUCCCCCAGUAGCGGCGAGCGAACGGGGAGCAGCCCAGAGCCUGAAUCAGUGUGUGUGUUAGUGGAAGCGUCUGGAAAGGCGCGCGAUACAGGGUGACAGCCCCGUACACAAAAAUGCACAUGCUGUGAGCUCGAUGAGUAGGGCGGGACACGUGGUAUCCUGUCUGAAUAUGGGGGGACCAUCCUCCAAGGCUAAAUACUCCUGACUGACCGAUAGUGAACCAGUACCGUGAGGGAAAGGCGAAAAGAACCCCGGCGAGGGGAGUGAAAAAGAACCUGAAACCGUGUACGUACAAGCAGUGGGAGCACGCUUAGGCGUGUGACUGCGUACCUUUUGUAUAAUGGGUCAGCGACUUAUAUUCUGUAGCAAGGUUAACCGAAUAGGGGAGCCGAAGGGAAACCGAGUCUUAACUGGGCGUUAAGUUGCAGGGUAUAGACCCGAAACCCGGUGAUCUAGCCAUGGGCAGGUUGAAGGUUGGGUAACACUAACUGGAGGACCGAACCGACUAAUGUUGAAAAAUUAGCGGAUGACUUGUGGCUGGGGGUGAAAGGCCAAUCAAACCGGGAGAUAGCUGGUUCUCCCCGAAAGCUAUUUAGGUAGCGCCUCGUGAAUUCAUCUCCGGGGGUAGAGCACUGUUUCGGCAAGGGGGUCAUCCCGACUUACCAACCCGAUGCAAACUGCGAAUACCGGAGAAUGUUAUCACGGGAGACACACGGCGGGUGCUAACGUCCGUCGUGAAGAGGGAAACAACCCAGACCGCCAGCUAAGGUCCCAAAGUCAUGGUUAAGUGGGAAACGAUGUGGGAAGGCCCAGACAGCCAGGAUGUUGGCUUAGAAGCAGCCAUCAUUUAAAGAAAGCGUAAUAGCUCACUGGUCGAGUCGGCCUGCGCGGAAGAUGUAACGGGGCUAAACCAUGCACCGAAGCUGCGGCAGCGACGCUUAUGCGUUGUUGGGUAGGGGAGCGUUCUGUAAGCCUGUGAAGGUGUGCUGUGAGGCAUGCUGGAGGUAUCAGAAGUGCGAAUGCUGACAUAAGUAACGAUAAAGCGGGUGAAAAGCCCGCUCGCCGGAAGACCAAGGGUUCCUGUCCAACGUUAAUCGGGGCAGGGUGAGUCGACCCCUAAGGCGAGGCCGAAAGGCGUAGUCGAUGGGAAACAGGUUAAUAUUCCUGUACUUGGUGUUACUGCGAAGGGGGGACGGAGAAGGCUAUGUUGGCCGGGCGACGGUUGUCCCGGUUUAAGCGUGUAGGCUGGUUUUCCAGGCAAAUCCGGAAAAUCAAGGCUGAGGCGUGAUGACGAGGCACUACGGUGCUGAAGCAACAAAUGCCCUGCUUCCAGGAAAAGCCUCUAAGCAUCAGGUAACAUCAAAUCGUACCCCAAACCGACACAGGUGGUCAGGUAGAGAAUACCAAGGCGCUUGAGAGAACUCGGGUGAAGGAACUAGGCAAAAUGGUGCCGUAACUUCGGGAGAAGGCACGCUGAUA